rnacentral:misc_RNA from 1 species
UAAGAAGUGUUUUAUGGCACUUUUUAAAUCCAUAUCCACCUUGUGUGCAAUGUCAGUCGACCUUCUUCAUGGAGAUCGACCAAACAUCAACCUUUAUUUUUUAACUCUUUGUCUGAAAAAUAUUAUGAAUAAACAAUUCAAAAUA